rnacentral:rRNA from 1 species
UACGUAGGGGGCUAGCGUUGUCCGGAUUUAUUGGGCGUAAAGAGCGUGUAGGCGGCCAUGUAGGUCUGCUGUGAAAACUCGAGGCUCAACCUCGAGACGGCGGCGGAAACCAUCUGGCUAGAGUCCGGAAGAGGAGAGUGGAAUUCCUGGUGUAGCGGUGAAAUGCGCAGAUAUCAGGAAGAACACCCGUGGCGAAGGCGGCUCUCUGGGACGGUACUGACGCUCGGACGCGAAAGCGUGGGGAGCGAACAGG